GCGGGGGUAACUCAGUGGAAGAGUCUCGGCCUUCCAAGCCGAUGGUCGCGGGUUCGAAUCCCGUCCCCCGCUCCA
rnacentral:tRNA from 1 species